UACGUAGGUGGCGAGCGUUGUCCGGAUUUACUGGGCGUAAAGAGCGCGCAGGCGGUCGUUCAAGUCGCGUGUGAAAGCCCCCGGCUCAACUGGGGAGGGUCACGCGAUACUGAUCGACUCGAAGGCAGGAGAGGGAAGUGGAAUUCCCGGUGUAGUGGUGAAAUUCGUAGAUAUCGGGAGGAACACCGGUGGCGAAGGCGGCGACCUGGGUAGAUACUGACGCUGAGGUGCGAAAGCGUGGGGAGCAAACAGG
rnacentral:rRNA from 1 species